AUUGAACGCUGGCGGAAUGCUUUACACAUGCAAGUCGAACGGUAGAGGGGGCAACCCCUCGAGAGUGGCGAACGGGUGAGUAAUAUAUCGGAACGUGCCCAGUCGUGGGGGAUAACGUAGCGAAAGUUACGCUAAUACCGCAUACGAUCUAAGGAUGAAAGCGGGGGAUCGCAAGACCUCGCGCGAUUGGAGCGGCCGAUAUCAGAUUAGGUAGUUGGGGGGGUAAAGGCUCACCAAGCCAACGAUCUGUAGCUGGUCUGAGAGGACGACCAGCAACACUGGAACUGAGACACGGUCCAGGCUCCUACGGGAGUCAGCAGUGGGGAAUUUUGGACAAUGGGCGCAAGUCUGAUCCAGCCAUUCCGCGUGCAGGAUGAAGGCCCUCGGGUUGUAAACUGCUUUUGUACGGGACGAAAAGGUCUCUCUUAAUACGGGGGGCUCAUGACGGUACCGUAAGAAUAAGCACCGGCUAACUACGUGCCAGCCGCCGCCGUAA
rnacentral:rRNA from 1 species